GCCAAAGCAAUUCUUUUCCAGUAGCUGGGAGC
rnacentral:piRNA from 1 species